UACGUAGGGUGCGAGCGUUAAUCGGAAUUACUGGGCGUAAAGCGUGCGCAGGCGGCUUUGCAAGACAGAUGUGAAAUCCCCGGGCUCAACCUGGGAACUGCAUUUGUAACUGCAAGGCUAGAGUACGGCAGAGGGGGAUGGAAUUCCGCGUGUAGCAGUGAAAUGCGUAGAUAUGCGGAGGAACACCAAUGGCGAAGGCAAUCCCCUGGGCCUGUACUGACGCUCAUGCACGAAAGCGUGGGGAGCAAACAGG
rnacentral:rRNA from 1 species